UACGGAGGAUGCAAGCGUUAUCCGGAUUCAUUGGGUUUAAAGGGUGCGCAGGCGGAAUGAUAAGUCAGUGGUGAAAUCCUACGGCUCAACUGUAGAACUGCCAUUGAUACUGUCAUUCUUGAGUACACUUGAAGUGGGCGGAAUGUGUCAUGUAGCGGUGAAAUGCUUAGAUAUGACACAGAACACCGAUGGCGAAGGCAGCCACCUGGGCUAACACUGACGCUCAUGCACGAAAGCGUGGGGAGCAAACAGG
rnacentral:rRNA from 1 species